UGACUGCGUACCUUUUGUAUAAUGGGUCAGCGACUUAUAUUCUGUAGCAAGGUUAACCGAAUAGGGGAGCCGGAGGGAAACCGAGUCUUAAUUGGGCGUUAAGUUGCAGGGUAUAGACCCGAAACCCGGUGAUCUAGCCAUGGGCAGGUUGAAGGUUGGGUAACACUAACUGGAGGACCGAACCGACUAAUGUUGAAAAAUUAGCGGAUGACCUGUGGCUGGGGGUGAAAGGCCAAUCAAACCGGGAGAUAGCUGGUUCUCCCCGAAAGCUAUUUAGGUAGCGCCUCGUGAAUUCAUCUCCGGGGGUAGAGCACUGUUUCGGCUAGGGGGCCAUCCCGGCUUACCAACCCGAUGCAAACUGCGAAUACCGGAGAAUGUUAUCACGGGAGACACACGGCGGGUGCUAACGUCCGUCGUGAAGAGGGAAACAACCCAGACCGCCAGCUAAGGUCCCAAAGUCAUGGUUAAGUGGGAAACGAUGUGGGAAGGCCCAGACAGCCAGGAUGUUGGCUUAGAAGCAGCCAUCAUUUAAAGAAAGCGUAAUAGCUCACUGGUCGAGUCGGCCUGCGCGGAAGAUGUAACGGGGCUAAACCAUGCACCGAAGCUGCGGCAGCGACACUGUGUGUUGUUGGGUAGGGGAGCGUUCUGUAAGCCUGUGAAGGUGUGUCGUGAGGCAUGCUGGAGGUAUCAGAAGUGCGAAUGCUGACAUAAGUAACGAUAAAGCGGGUGAAAAGCCCGCUCGCCGGAAGACCAAGGGUUCCUGUCCAACGUUAAUCGGGGCAGGGUGAGUCGACCCCUAAGGCGAGGCCGAAAGGCGUAGUCGAUGGGAAACGGGUUAAUAUUCCCGUACUUGGUGUUACUGCGAAGGGGGGACGGAGAAGGCUAUGUUGGCCGGGCGACGGUUGUCCCGGUUUAAGCGUGUAGGUGUGUGUUCCAGGUAAAUCCGGUUCACUUUAACACUGAGGCGUGACGACGAGGCACUACGGUGCUGAAGCAACAAAUGCCCUGCUUCCAGGAAAAGCCUCUAAGCAUCAGGUAACAUCAAAUCGUACCCCAAACCGACACAGGUGGUCAGGUAGAGAAUACCAAGGCGCUUGAGAGAACUCGGGUGAAGGAACUAGGCAAAAUGGUGCCGUAACUUCGGGAGAAGGCACGCUGACACGUAGGUGAAGUGAUUUACUCAUGGAGCUGAAGUCAGUCGAAGAUACCAGCUGGCUGCAACUGUUUAUUAAAAACACAGCACUGUGCAAACACGAAAGUGGACGUAUACGGUGUGACGCCUGCCCGGUGCCGGAAGGUUAAUUGAUGGGGUCAGCGCAAGCGAAGCUCCUGAUCGAAGCCCCGGUAAACGGCGGCCGUAACUAUAACGGUCCUAAGGUAGCGAAAUUCCUUGUCGGGUAAGUUCCGACCUGCACGAAUGGCGUAAUGAUGGCCAGGCUGUCUCCACCCGAGACUCAGUGAAAUUGAACUCGCUGUGAAGAUGCAGUGUACCCGCGGCAAGACGGAAAGACCCCGUGAACCUUUACUAUAGCUUGACACUGAACAUUGAGCCUUGAUGUGUAGGAUAGGUGGGAGGCUUUGAAGUGUGGACGCCAGUCUGCAUGGAGCCGACCUUGAAAUACCACCCUUUAAUGUUUGAUGUUCUAACGUGGACCCGUUACCCGGGUUGCGGACAGUGUCUGGUGGGUAGUUUGACUGGGGCGGUCUCCUCCUAAAGAGUAACGGAGGAGCACGAAGGUUGGCUAAUCCUGGUCGGACAUCAGGAGGUUAGUGCAAUGGCAUAAGCCAGCUUGACUGCGAGCGUGACGGCGCGAGCAGGUGCGAAAGCAGGUCAUAGUGAUCCGGUGGUUCUGAAUGGAAGGGCCAUCGCUCAACGGAUAAAAGGUACUCCGGGGAUAACAGGCUGAUACCGCCCAAGAGUUCAUAUCGACGGCGGUGUUUGGCACCUCGAUGUCGGCUCAUCACAUCCUGGGGCUGAAGUAGGUCCCAAGGGUAUGGCUGUUCGCCAUUUAAAGUGGUACGCGAGCUGGGUUUAGAACGUCGUGAGACAGUUCGGUCCCUAUCUGCCGUGGGCGCUGGAGAACUGAGGGGGGCUGCUCCUAGUACGAGAGGACCGGAGUGGACGCAUCACUGGUGUUCGGGUUGUCAUGCCAAUGGCACUGCCCGGUAGCUAAAUGCGGAAGAGAUAAGUGCUGAAAGCAUCUAAGCACGAAACUUGCCCCGAGAUGAGUUCU
rnacentral:rRNA from 22 species